rnacentral:rRNA from 1 species
CAGGCUUAACACAUGCAAGUCGAGGGGCAGCAUUUCAGUUUGCUUGCAAACUGGAGAUGGCGACCGGCGCACGGGUGAGUAACACGUAUCCAACCUGCCGAUAACUCGGGGAUAGCCUUUCGAAAGAAAGAUUAAUACCCGAUGGUAUAAUCAGACCGCAUGGUCUUGUUAUUAAAGAAUUUCGGUUAUCGAUGGGGAUGCGUUCCAUUAGGCAGUUGGUGAGGUAACGGCUCACCAAACCUUCGAUGGAUAGGGGUUCUGAGAGGAAGGUCCCCCACAUUGGAACUGAGACACGGUCCAAACUCCUACGGGAGGCAGCAGUGAGGAAUAUUGGUCAAUGGGCGCAGGCCUGAACCAGCCAAGUAGCGUGAAGGAUGACUGCCCUAUGGGUUGUAAACUUCUUUUAUAUGGGAAUAAAGUUUUCCACGUGUGGAAUUUUGUAUGUACCAUAUGAAUAAGGAUCGGCUAACUCCGUGCCAGCAGCCGCGGUAAUACGGAGGAUCCGAGCGUUAUCCGGAUUUAUUGGGUUUAAAGGGAGCGUAGGUGGACAGUUAAGUCAGUUGUGAAAGUUUGCGGCUCAACCGUAAAAUUGCAGUUGAUACUGGCUGUCUUGAGUACAGUAGAGGUGGGCGGAAUUCGUGGUGUAGCGGUGAAAUGCUUAGAUAUCACGAAGAACUCCGAUUGCGAAGGCAGCUCACUGGACUGCAACUGACACUGAUGCUCGAAAGUGUGGGUAUCAAACAGGAUUAGAUACCCUGGUAGUCCACACAGUAAACGAUGAAUACUCGCUGUUUGCGAUAUACAGUAAGCGGCCAAGCGAAAGCAUUAAGUAUUCCACCUGGGGAGUACGCCGGCAACGGUGAAACUCAAAGGAAUUGACGGGGGCCCGCACAAGCGGAGGAACAUGUGGUUUAAUUCGAUGAUACGCGAGGAACCUUACCCGGGCUUAAAUUGCAUUUGAAUAUAUUGGAAACAGUAUAGCCGUAAGGCAAAUGUGAAGGUGCUGCAUGGUUGUCGUCAGCUCGUGCCGUGAGGUGUCGGCUUAAGUGCCAUAACGAGCGCAACCCUUAUCUUUAGUUACUAACAGGUCAUGCUGAGGACUCUAGAGAGACUGCCGUCGUAAGAUGUGAGGAAGGUGGGGAUGACGUCAAAUCAGCACGGCCCUUACGUCCGGGGCUACACACGUGUUACAAUGGGGGGUACAGAAGGCAGCUACCUGGUGACAGGAUGCUAAUCCCAAAAGCCUCUCUCAGUUCGGAUCGAAGUCUGCAACCCGACUUCGUGAAGCUGGAUUCGCUAGUAAUCGCGCAUCGGCCAUGGCGCGGUGAAUACGUUCCCGGGCCUUGUACACACCGCCCGUCAAGCCAUGAAAGCCGGGGGUACCUGAAGUACGUAACCGCAAGGAGCGUCCUAGGGUAAAACUGGUAAUUG